AUUGGAAGAAUCAAUUCCUUUUUUUCACAGACAUACCAAAAUAGAUGCAACAAACCAGAUAUAGAUGUAAUCCAGUCAAAUCACACAGUUUCUUCAUAUAAUGGUGGUAAAAUCAGGAUAUACUGUUUGGCCCAUGGCGUGCCCUCUUCUCUGUUCACGUGGUAUGACCCCCGUAAUCGAUCAAUAUCGACUGGAACUCAUACUCUUACGGUUGUUGGUGUCUUGGAACUAGUAACCAUUGACGCAGGCAGCUAUGGGCUGUGCAGGUGCAAAGCAGAAAAUUUACUUGGUUAUGAUGAACACAUUAUCAAUGUCACCCAAACAGCUCUUCCUACUUCUACGGUACCAUCGGAAAGUAAACGCCAUGUAAAAGGCUCAAUAUCAAGAGUUAACCGAGGUAAUCUAA